rnacentral:rRNA from 1 species
AUUGAACGCUGGCGGCAGGCCUAACACAUGCAAGUCGAGCGAGCGGCGGACGGGUGAGUAAUGUCUGGGAAACUGCCUGAUGGAGGGGGAUAACUACUGGAAACGGUAGCUAAUACCGCAUACCAUCAGAUGUGCCCAGAUGGGAUUAGCUAGUAGGUGGGGUAAAGGCCUAACAAGGCGACGAUCCGUAACUGGUCUGAGAGGAUGAUCAGUCACACUGGAAACGAGAAACGGUCCAGACUCAUACGGGAGGCAGCAGUGGGGAAUAUUGGACAAUGGGCGAAAGCCUGAUCCAGCCAUGCAGCGUGUGUGAAGAAGGUCUGCGGAUUGUAAAGCACUUUAAGUUGGGAGGCGUUACCAACAGAAUAAGCACCGGCUAACUUCGUGCCAGCAGCCGCGGUAAUAC